AACAACUGGCAUGACAGCACCCAUAAUUCCACCAAGUGCUCUUAAAGUUGGGGAGACUAAUAUGCAAGUUACAGGAAAUCUUAUGCGGUUCAUUAUAACAGCAAAUCUUCUGGGACUUCCUGCAGUUACUGUCCCUGUUGGUUAUGACAAGCAAGGGCUUCCCAUAGGUAUACAACUCAUUGGCCGGCCCUGGUGUGAAGCUUCCAUUUUGCGCUUGGCGGCUGCAAUUGAGGAAACUUGUGCUGAGCCCAAGAAGAAACCACUGCAAUAUUAUGACAUUCUGAAAGGGAACUAGAAAUCAAGCUUAGCCUGCAGGAGCCCGGGGUAAACAGUAAUGUGGAUUAUGAAGCUUUAAGAAGAUGUGAAUUCAUUUAUCAAGACUUUGGUGAUUCAUAGAAACCACCUUGAAAAUUGAACGUACUGAGUUUGCGGUACCACUUUAUGAAAUAAAGCUGAUGAAAAGGUUUUGGCUAAUCA
rnacentral:misc_RNA from 1 species